rnacentral:misc_RNA from 1 species
AGAAAAGGUAAUAGGAGAAAAUGGCAAGCACAGUAAUGAGCUCAUUGAGCCUAAAGCCAACUUUCACUCUGGAGAAAAUAUCAGUGAAAGGGCUUCCAUCACUUACUAGAUCUUCUUCUUCCUUCAAAGUUGUGGCUAGUGGUGUUAAGAAGCUUAAGACUGACAAACCCUAUGGAAUUAAUGGAAGCAUGGCCUUGAGAGAUGGGGUUGAUGCCUCAGGCAGGAAGCCCAAGGGAAAGGGUGUGUACCAAUAUGUUGACAAAUAUGGAGCUAAUGUUGAUGGAUACAGUCCCAUCUACAACACGGAUGAAUGGUCUCCAAGUGGUGAUGUCUAUGUUGGAGGUACCACUGGCUUAGCCAUAUGGGCGGUGACCUUGCUUGGCAUUCUUGCAGGAGGUGCUCUCCUUGUCUACAACACAAGUGCUUUGGCGCAAUAGAUGUUAUCCUUGUAUUGUACUAUUAAGUUUAAGUUGUAUUCCAUGUUAUCUUUUCAAAAUAUUUCUUGGCAUCUUCAUUAAUAUGUAAUUGCUGUGAUUUUACUGUGGAUAAUAUUACAUCUAAUGUUGCUG